rnacentral:rRNA from 1 species
UACGGAGGAUCCGGGCGUUAUCCGGAUUUAUUGGGUUUAAAGGGUGCGUAGGCGGUUUGAUAAGUUAGAGGUGAAAUGUCGGGGCUCAACCCCGAAACUGCCUCUAAUACUGUUGGACUAGAGAAUAGUUGCGGUAGGCGGAAUGUAUGGUGUAGCGGUGAAAUGCUUAGAGAUCAUACAGAACACCGAUUGCGAAGGCAGCUUACCAAACUAUAUCUGACGUUGAGGCACGAAAGCGUGGGUAGCAAACAGG